CUAUUGCAAGAGAAGUGUGUUCUUCAAUCGCCAGUGAUGUUGUGCCUUCUCAUCUAACCAUGUCUAUCACUG